GGGCGGGGAGGGGGGGCGGAGGAGGAGCAGGGGAGACGAGGGCAGCGGAGGAGGCGAGGAGCGCCGGGUACCGGGCCGGGGGAGCCGCGGGCUCUCGGGGAAGAGACGGAUGAUGAACAAGCUUUACAUCGGGAACCUGAGCCCCGCCGUCACCGCCGACGACCUCCGGCAGCUCUUCGGGGACAGGAAGCUGCCCCUGGCGGGACAGGUCCUGCUCAAGUCCGGCUACGCCUUCGUGGACUACCCCGACCAGAACUGGGCCAUCCGCGCCAUCGAGACCCUUUCGGGUAAAGUGGAAUUGCAUGGGAAAAUCAUGGAAGUUGAUUAUUCAGUCUCCAAAAAGCUCAGGAGCAGGAAAAUUCAGAUUCGAAACAUCCCUCCUCACCUGCAGUGGGAGGUGUUGGAUGGACUUUUGGCUCAGUGUGGGACAGUGGAGAACGUGGAGCAAGUCAACACAGACACAGAAACUGCCGUUGUCAACGUCACAUAUGCAACAAGAGAAGAAGCUAAAACAGCCAUCGAGAAGCUAAGCGGGCAUCAGUUUGAGAACUACUCCUUCAAGAUUUCCUACAUCCCGGAUGAAGAGGUGAGCUCCCCUUCGCCCCCUCAGCGAGCCCAGCGUGGGGACCACUCUUCCCGGGAGCAAGGCCAUGCCCCUGGGGGCUCUUCUCAGGCCAGACAGAUUGAUUUCCCGCUGCGGAUCCUGGUCCCCACCCAGUUUGUUGGUGCCAUCAUCGGAAAGGAGGGCUUGACCAUAAAGAACAUCACUAAGCAGACCCAGUCCCGGGUAGACAUCCAUAGAAAGGAGAACUCUGGGGCCGCAGAGAAGCCCGUCACCAUCCAUGCCACCCCAGAGGGAACCUCUGAAGCAUGCCGCAUGAUUCUUGAAAUCAUGCAGAAAGAGGCUGAUGAGACCAAACUAGCUGAAGAGAUUCCUCUGAAGAUCUUGGCCCACAAUGGCUUGGUUGGAAGACUGAUUGGAAAAGAAGGCAGAAAUUUGAAGAAAAUUGAACAUGAGACAGGGACCAAGAUAACAAUCUCAUCCUUGCAGGAUUUGAGCAUAUACAACCCUGAAAGAACCAUCACUGUGAAGGGCACAGUUGAGGCCUGUGCCAGUGCCGAAAUAGAGAUUAUGAAGAAGCUGCGUGAGGCCUUUGAAAAUGAUAUGCUGGCUGUUAAUCAACAAGCCAGUCUGAUCCCGGGGUUGAACCUCAGCGCACUUGGCAUCUUUUCAACAGGAUUUUCCGUGCUGCCUCCACCAGCAGGGCCCCGAGGAGCUCCCCCCGCUCCCCCCUACCACCCUUUCGCUACCCACUCCGGAUAUUUCUCCAGCUUGUACCCCCCUCACCAGUUUGGCCCGUUCCCGCAUCAUCACUCCUAUCCAGAGCAGGAGAUCGUGAAUCUCUUCAUCCCGACCCAGGCCGUGGGGGCCAUCAUCGGGAAGAAAGGGGCGCACAUUAAACAGCUGGCCAGAUUCGCCGGAGCCUCCAUUAAGAUCGCCCCAGCAGAAGGCCCAGACGUCAGUGAAAGGAUGGUCAUCAUCACCGGCCCACCUGAAGCUCAGUUCAAGGCUGUGCCCUCUACACGGAGCCCUGCUUACCUUCUCUCCUGUGAAAAGUGGACUGUCAGUGCCCAGUUCAGAUGGCAUCCCCUUGGGAACAUCUCUGAUCCCUUGGCCAUGGUUUUGAAGAUGGAGCAUAAACACAGGGUGUGAAGAGAAAUAGCAGUUUGUUGGAAGGGUUUGGAGGGAUGCAUUCCUUUACUUUAUAUUGGAGUACAGUUUUUUUUCAAUGCUAUGUUAGUUUCAGGUAUUUAGUUAUACACACAUCCAUUCUUUUUCAGGUUGUUUUCCCAUGUAGCUUAUUACAUAAUGUUGAGUAGAGUCCCCUGUACUAUAUAGUAAGUCUUUGUUGACAUAUGAUAAUCCCAAACUCCUAAUUUAUCCCCCCACCCCUAAUUUCCCCCUUGGUAACCACGUUUGUUUUUUGUCUGUGAACCUGUUUCCUUGUUUGGUAAAUAAGUUUACUUGUAUCACUUUUUUAGAUUCCACAUAUAAGUGAUAUCAUAUAUUUGUCUCUGAUUUACUUAAUAUGAUAAUCUCUAGGUCCAUCCAUGUUACUACAAAUGGUAUUUAUUCUUUUUUAAAUAUUUUUUUAAAUGGGCUGAGUAACAUCCCACUCUGUGUGUGUGUGUGUGUGUGUAUCACUUUUGGUUGGAGCAUUUAAUCUGUUUACAUUUAAGGUAAUUAUCAAUAUGUAUGUUCUUAUUGCCAUUUUGUUAAUUGUUUCAGGUUUGAUUCUGUAAGUCUUUUUUCUUCCCUUCCGCUUUUGUUCUCUCACAAUUUGAUGACUACCUUUAGUGUUGCAUUUGGACUGUUUUUUGUGUAUCUAUUAUAGAUUUUUUGGUUUGCAGUUACCAGGAGGUUUUGACAUAGCCGUCUUGUUAAUAUAUACAACAUUGUUUAAUAAAGUUGCUGGUCUAAUUUCAAAUGCCUUUCCAAUAUCCUGCAUUUGUACUCUCCUCAUGAUUACUGGUUUUGACGUCAUAUUUAUGUAUGAAUGAUUUCCCACCUUUACUGUAUUUUUGUCUUUACUGGUGAACUUGCCCAUUCAUAAUUUUCUUGUUUCUAGUUGUGGGCUUUUCCACCUAGAAAAGUUCCUUUAGCAUUUGUUAUAAAGUAGUGAAUUCUCUUAGCUUUUGCUUAUCUGUAAAGCUUUUGACUUAUUCAUUGAUUCUGAAUGAGAGUCUUGCUGGCUAUCCUUUGUUGUAGGUUUUUCCCUUUCAUCACUUUCUUUUCUCAGGCCAUUUCUCUCUCAUCUUCCUCUAGAACCUCUAUAAUGUGAAUGCUAGUGCACUUAAUGUUGCCCCAGAGGUCUCUUAGACUUGCUCAUUUCAUUCUUUAUUCUGUUCCACAGUGUGAUUUUCACCAAUCUGUCUCCCAACUCACUUAUUCAUUCUUCUGCCUCCUUUAUUCUGUUAUUGAUUCCUUCUAGUAUAUUUUUCAUUUCAGUUAUUGUAUUGUUCAUCUCUGUGCUAUUGUUCAUCUUCUAGCUCUUUGUUAAACAAACACUUCCAAAAUCUUAGGUCAUUCUUUACUAUCAUUAUUUUGAAUUCUUUUUCAGGUAGAUUCAGUUCAGUCGCUCAGUCGUGUCUGACUCUUUGUGACCCCAUGGACUACAGUACACCAGACUUCCCUGUCGAUCACCAACUCCUGGAGCUUACUCAAACUCUUGUCCAUUGAGUCGGUGAUGCCAUCUAACCAUCUCAUCCUUUAUCGUCCCCUUCUCCUCCCACCUUCAAUCAUUCCCAGCAUCAGGGUCUUUUCAAAUGAGUCCGUUCUUUGCAUCAGGUGGCCAAAGUAUUGGAGUACUUAGAGCUUCAGCAUCAGUCCUUCCAGUGAAUAUUCAGGACUAAUUUCCUUUAGGAUGGACUGGUUUGAUCUCCUUGCAGUCCAAGGGACUCUCAAAGGUCUUCUCCAACACCACAGUUCAAAAGCAUCAAUUCUUCAGUGCUCAGCUUUUUUUUAUAGUCCAACUCUCACAUCCAUACAUGACUACUGGUUCAUCGCAGCAAUGUUUAUAAUAGCCAGGACAUACAUGACUACUGGAAAAACCAAAGCUUUGACUAGAUGGACCUUUGUUGGCAAAGUAAUGUGUCUGCUUUUUAAUAUGCGGUCUAGGUUAGUCAUAACUUUUCUUCCAAGGAGCAAGUGUCUUAAUUUCAUGGCUGCAGUCACCAUCUGCAGUGAUUUUGGAGCCCCCCCCAAAAUAAAGUCUGCCACUGUUUCCAUUGUUUCCCCAUCUAUUUGCCAUGAAGUGAUGGGACCAGAUGCCAUGAUCUUAGUUUACUGAAUGUUGAGUUUUAAGCCAACCUUUUCACUGUCCUCUUUCACUUUCAUCAAGAAGCUCUUUAGUAGUUCUUCACUUUCUGCCAUAAGGGUGGUGUCAUCUGCAUAUCUGAGGUUAUUGAUAUUCCUCCCAGCAAUCUUGAUUCCAGCUUGUGCUUCCUCCAACCCAGCGUGUCUCAUGAUGUACUCUGCAUAGAAGUUAAAUAAGGAGAGUGACAAUAUACAGCCUUGACGUACUCCUUUUCCUAUUUGGAACCAGUCUGUUGUUCCAUGUCCAGUUCUAACUGUUGCUUCCUGACCUGCAUACAGGUUUCUCAAGAGGCAGGUCAGGUGGUCUGGUAUUCCCAUCCCUUUCAGAAUUUUCCACAGUUUGUUGUGAUCAAUACAGUCAAAGGCUUUGGCACAGUCAAGAAAGCAGAAAUAGAUGUCUUUCUGGAACUCUCUUGCUUUUUUAAAUGAUCCAAAUUUGCUGGCAUAUGGAGUGCAGCACUUUCACAGCAUCAUCUUUUAGGGUUUGAAAUAGCUCAUUUGGAAUUCCAUCACCUCCACUAACUUUGUUCAUAGUGAUGCUUCCUAAGGCCCACGUGACUUCACAUUCCAGGAUGUCUGGCUCUAGGUGAGUGAUCACACCAUCGUGAUUAUCUGGGUCAUGAAGAUCUUUUUUGUACAGUUCUUCUGUGUAUUCCUGCCACCUCUUCUUAAUAUCUUCUGCUUCUCUUAGGUCCAUACCAUUUCUGUCCUUUAUUGAGCCCAUCUUUACAUGAAAUGUUCCCUUGGUAUCUCUAAUUUUCUUGAAGAGAUCUCUAGUCUUUCCCAUUCUAUUGUUUUCCUCUAUUUUUUUGCAUUGAUCGCUGAGGAAGGCUUUCUAUCUCUCCUUGCUAUUCUUUGGAACUCUGCAUUCAAAUGGGUGUAUCUUUCCUUUUCUCUCUUGCCUUUCACUUCUCUUCUUUUCACAGCUAUUUGUAAGUCCUCCUUAGACAACCAUUUUGCCUUUUUGCACUUCUUUUUCUUGGGGAUGAUCUUGAUCCCUGCCUCCUGUACAAUGUUACGAACCUCCAUCCAUAAUUAUUCAGGCACUCUAGCAGAUCUAAUCCCUUGAAUCUAUUUGUCACUUACACUGUAUAAUCUUAAGGGAUUUGAUUUAGGUCAUACCUGAAUGGUCUAGUGGUUUUCCCUGCUUUCUUCAAUUUCAGUCUGAAUUUGGCAAUCAGGAGUUCAUGGUCUGAGCCACAGUCAGUUUGUUUUUGCUGACUGUAUAGAGCUUCUCCAUCUUUGCCUGCAAAGAAUAUAAUCAAUCUGAUUUCGGUAUUGAUCAACUGGUGAUGUCCAUGUGUAGUCUCUUCUCUACCUUCAGGUAGAUUGCCUAUCUCGAUAUCAUUUAGUUGUUCUUUUGGGGUUUUAUCUUGUUCCUUCAUCUGGAACAUACUUCUCUGCUGUCUCAUUUUGUGUUUGUGGUCUCCCUUCUGUAGGCUCUGGAUUGUAGUUCUUGCUUCUCAUGUCUGCCCCUUGGUGGGUGAGGUUGGUUCAGGGGUUUGUACAGGCUUCCCGGUGGUAGUGACUGGUGCCUGCCAGCUGGUGGAUGGGGCUGGCUCUAGUCCCUCUUGUGGGCAGGGCCAUGUCAAAGGGCAUGUCUUGAGGUGCCUGUGGACUCAGGACAGCUUUACGCAUUGUGUUGGUUGAUUGCUGGGGCUGUGUUCCCACCCUGUUGGUUGGCCUGAAGCAUCCCCAGCACUGGAGCUUGCAGGCUGUUGGGUGGGGCCAGGCCUCAGUACCAAAUGGUGACCUCCAGGAGAGCUCACGUUGAGGAAUAUUCCCUGGGGCCUCCGCUGCCAGUGUCCUUGCCCCACAGUGGGCCACAGCCAAUCCCCGCCUCCCCAGGAGACUCUCCAAAACCUACAGGUAGGUCUGACUCGCUCCCGUGGAGUCACUGCUUUGCCUUGGGUCCCAGGGUACAUGAACCCUUGUGUGCACCCUCCAAGAGUGGAGUCUCUGCUUCCCUCAGUCCUGUGGAGCUCCUGCACUCAAGUGCCUCUGGCCCUUCAAACCAAAUGCUAUGAAGACUCCUCCUUGGGAUGCCAGACGCCCAGCCUGGGGAGCCUGGCAUGGGGCUCAGAACUCUCCUCUGGGAGAACCUCUGCAGUAUAAUUCGUUUCCAGUUUGUGGGUGGCCUGGUGGGUAUGGGAUAUUAUAUUGUGACAGCACCCUUCCUGCCAUCUUGUUGUGGCUUCUUUGUUUUCGGAUGCAGAUUAUCUUUUUGGAAAGCUUCCAGUCUUUUUGUUGAUGGUUGUUCAGCAGUUGGUUGUGAUUUUGGUGUUUUCGUGAGAGGAGGCCCAGGGGCGGAUCUUUGGGAAACUGAAAGAAGAAAACUUCUUUAACCCCAAAGAGGAGGUGAAGCUGGAAGCCCACAUCCGAGUGCCCUCCUCUACAGCCGGCCGUGUGAUCGGCAAGGGCGGCAAAACC